rnacentral:lncRNA from 1 species
UGAAAUUAUAGCAACCUAUGAAUAUUGCCUCUGUACAAUAUUUAUUUUCCUUUUCUGUAUACUCAUAUUAGGAAGGUAGGUUAUUUAUUAUGUACUACUUUGUAACUCUAUAAAUUGAGGGUGCCUGUACAUAAUUUUACAUAUUGAGAAAUACAAUAUUUUCACAUUGUAUCAGAGCCUGGUCGAUUGGAUCUGUGAGCCCAAAAACCACUCCUCGAAACCACCCUGCAAAACUAAUUCAAAAAUCAUUAUGCAAAACCACUUUUUCAAAACCAUCAUAGAAAAGCCAUUCCCUAAAACUACCAAAUCUAAAACACUACCGAAACCACCACCCAAACUGCAUAUAGAAAACCAUCAACUGAAAUCGCAAACAAUCGGUUAAAUCGCCAACAAUCGGUGAUAUCGCCUGAACCUAAAAUCUCUAAAGCCGAUCUGGAAACCUUAGUCACUAAAAUCCGUCACUGAAAAACAUUCUCUGAAAAACUCACUCUUUGAAACCUCUGUCUCUAAAAUCUUUAAAGCCGAUCUGAAAACCUUAUCUUUGAAAUCCAUCUCGAAAAAACAGUCUCUAAAAACCCACUCCCAGAAACCUUUGUCUCUAAAAUCUUCGAGACUUCCCUAUUAAAUCUACUCAAAAGCAUUGAUCAUCUUCGUUCUCCUUCGCAUCUGAAGCCUCUGCAUCCUCUUCUCGGUUCUCCUCAAGAUUUGAAGCCUUUGCAUCCUCUUCCUCGGCUAUUGUUUCUCCUCCAUUUUGUUUUUGGUACACAGUCUUUUUAUUUAUUGUCUCUCAUUGUUUUCUCUAGCUUUUUGCUUGCACCAAUUUUUCGGUUGGUUACUUUUAUCCCUCGAUACUAUUUCCUUCUCGUGUUUUCUUAGAAGCACAAGAAUUGCCAGCCAACCCCACAAUAUGAGCCAUUUGUUUUUCAAAGGGAACACUUUUUGAAACAUUAGCCUUCACGUUAGGACCCAUUC